CCUCUGAUGGUCUAGGGGUUAGGACGUGGUGCUUUCACUGCCAUGGCCUAGGUUCAAUCCCUAGUCAGGGGA